CUCGGUGGCUAUGGCGGAGGAGUCUACCCGAUCCCAUCUCGAACUCGGUCGUCAAGCCCUCCAGCGUCGAUGGUACUGCACAGGUGACUGUGUGGGAGAGUAGAACGCCGCCGGGG
rnacentral:rRNA from 1 species